rnacentral:rRNA from 1 species
UGGCGGACGGGUGAGUAAUGUCUGGGAAACUGCCUGAUGGAGGGGGAUAACUACUGGAAACGGUAGCUAAUACCGCAUAACGUCGCAAGACCAAAGAGGGGACCUUCGGGCCUCUUGCCAUCGGAUGUGCCCAGAUGGGAUUAGCUAGUAGGUGGGGUAACGGCCCACCUAGACGACGAUCCCUAGCUGGUCUGAGAGGAUGACCAGCCACACUGGAACUGAGACACGGUCCGG